AUUGAACGCUGGCGGCAGGCCUAACACAUGCAAGUCGAGCGAGCGGCGGACGGGUGAGUAAUGUAUGGGGACUGCCCGUUAGAGGGGGAUAACUACUGGAAACGGUGGCUAUUACCGCAUACUAUCGGAUAACCCAUAUGGGAUUAGCUAGUAGGUGGGGUAAAGGCGCACCUAGGCCACGAUCGCUAGCUGGUCUGGGAGGAUGAUCAGCCACAUGGGGACUGAGACACGGCCCGGACUCGUACGGAGGCAGCCGUGGGGAAUAUUGCACAAUGGGCGCAAGCCUGAUGCAGCCAUGCCGCGUGUAUAAAGAAGGCCUUAGGGUUGUAAAGUACUUUCAGCGGGGAGGCGUUACCCGCAGAAGAAGCACCGGCUAACUCCGUGCCAGCAGCCGCGGUAAUAC
rnacentral:rRNA from 1 species